CCUACGGGAGGCAGCAGUGGGGAAUUUUGGACAAUGGGCGCAAGCCUGAUCCAGCAAUGCCGCGUGAGUGAAGAAGGCCUUCGGGUUGUAAAGCUCUUUUGUCAGGGAAGAAACGGGUCUUUCUAAUACAGAGAUCUAAUGACGGUACCUGAAGAAUAAGCACCGGCUAACUACGUGCCAGCAGCCGCGGUAAU
rnacentral:rRNA from 1 species